GAUGAACGCUGGCGGCGUGCCUAAUACAUGCAAGUCGAGCGAACUGAUUAGAAGCUUGCUUCUAUGGCGUUAGCGGCGGACGGGUGAGUAACACGUGGGCAACCUGCCUGUAAGACUGGGAUAACUUCGGGAAACCGAAGCUAAUACCGGAUAGGAUCUUCUCCUUCAUGGGAGAUGAUUGAAAGAUGGUUUCGGCUAUCACUUACAGAUGGGCCCGCGGUGCAUUAGCUAGUUGGUGAGGUAACGGCUCACCAAGGCAACGAUGCAUAGCCGACCUGAGAGGGUGAUCGGCCACACUGGGACUGAGACACGGCCCAGACUCCUACGGGAGGCAGCAGUAGGGAACCUUCCGCAAUGGACAAAAGUCUGACGGAGCAACGCCGCGUGAGUGAUGAAGGCUUUCGGGUCGUAAAACUCUGUUGUUAGGGAAGAACAAGUACAAGAGUAACUGCUUGUACCUUGACGGUACCUAACCAGAAAGCCACGGCUAACUACGUGCCAGCCGCCGCGGUAACAC
rnacentral:rRNA from 1 species